rnacentral:rRNA from 1 species
GUUCCUACGGGACGCAGCAGUGAGGAAUAUUGGUCAAUGGGCGAGAGCCUGAACCAGCCAAGUCGCGUGAGGGAAGACGGUCCUAUGGAUUGUAAACCUCUUUUGCCGGGGAGCAAAAAGCGGUACGUGUACCGCAUCGAGAGUACCCGGAGAAAAAGCAUCGGCUAACUCCGUGCCAGCAGCCGCGGUAAUACGAAGGGGGCAAGAGUUAUCCGGAUUUACUGGGUGUAAAGGGAGCGUAGACGGCUGUGCAAGUCUGAAGUGAAAUGCUGGGGCUCAACCCCGGAACUGCUCGGGAAACUGUG